GUAUGAUAGGUGUUGUUUUACAGGGUCAGACAUAGUAGUAUGAUAGGUGUUGUUUUACAGGGUCAGUCAUAGUAGUAUGAUAGGUGUUGUUUUACAGGGUCAGUCAUAGUAGUAUGAUAGGUGUUGUUUUACAGGGUCAGUCAUAGUAGUAUGAUAGGUGUUGUUUUACAGGGUCAUAGUAGUAUGAUAGGUGUUGUUUUACAGGGUCAGACAUAGUAGUAUGAUAGGUGUUGUUUUACAGGGUCAGUCAUAGUAGUAUGAUAGGUGUUGUUUUACAGGGUCAGUCAUAGUAGUAUGAUAGGUGUUGUUUUACAGGGUCAGUCAUAGUAGUAGUAUGAUAGGUGUUGUUUUACAGGGUCAGUCAUAGUGGUAUGAUAGGUGUUGUUUUACAGGGUCAGUCUUAGUAGUAUGAUAGGUGUUGUUUUACAGGGUCAUUCAUAGUAGUAUGGCGUCCCUAGAGCAAAUUAGGGAUAAGUGCCUUGCUCAAGUGCAC